rnacentral:rRNA from 1 species
GCGGUAAUACGAAGGGGGCUAGCGUUGCUCGGAAUUACUGGGCGUAAAGGGAGCGUAGGCGGACAUUUAAGUCAGGGGUGAAAUCCCGGGGCUCAACCUCGGAAUUGCCUUUGAUACUGGGUGUCUUGAGUAUGAGAGAGGUGUGUGGAACUCCGAGUGUAGAGGUGAAAUUCGUAGAUAUUCGGAAGAACACCAGUGGCGAAGGCGACAC